rnacentral:snRNA from 1 species
AGAUGUGAGAGCAAUCUGGCCAAGACAUCUGUCACCCUUUGUUCGUCAGCACUGACUGCACGGAUCUGCCUGGUGAGGCAGAUGCCCCCCUCUUGCCCCACAGCUCCCUGUGUAGCCUCCUCUGAGGCCUCACAUGUGGACAAGCUGCCAGCAAACAGGAGGGGAGGCCAUGGACUUGGCUAAGAGAGA